UAUAUGCAAAAUUAUUCGAUAGAUUUUGCGUCUUCGAUCUGGAAAUUCGCCGCGGCAAGCUAUAAAAAUGCAAUAAUUAAAUAAGUUUGACAAGUUGUACACCAGUCUUAUAAAACCUUAACCCCUUCGAUGUCGUAAAUUUUAUUUUUACGUUUAUUGUUGCAAAAAUGUCAAAAAAUGUAAACUUAAAUUACAAACUGUAAAUGUUGGUGUAAUCACAUAACUGUUGUGUUGUUUAUUGUUUGUCUUGGUUGUGUGAUGCUCAGAUGUUCGCGACCGCAAGACCAAUUGUUUCCGGCAUUACACACAACGCCCGUAUCUACUUGCGGGCCACCUUCAGCGCACGCAUCAGCUGGCAUUCGUUUGAUGAAAGUUUGUUUCCCGUUUCCCGAGUAUAAUUGCCACGUUACAAACGAUUGUGUCUAUAUAUGCAUGAAAGCGUACGUAUCGCAUAAACCGGUGCAGACUGACGUUAAUAAAUCGGAUAAUGGUGAUAUUAGUCAAGUGGUGCACGCGGGAUUGGGUCACGGCCCAUUUCGGGGGCGGCCUAUGAAGGAGCGUGACGGAUGACGAAGCGAGACCGUUGCGGUCGGCCCCACGGAGUGCCACCUGAUCGACUUGAGGGUUUGAUCGAGUAUUGGUUUGCGUCGAUUGAGUGGUGUCGAUGUUUGUGCCUUUGGCCCUCUAUCACAGCGUGUUUUCGAUCAUUUUUGACCCCAAUGGAAAUUCAAACUUGUCAAUUUUACCGGCGAGGGUUUUAAUUUUGCUUCUUUUUUUUUGUUGGUUAAUCUUAAGUGUAUAAGACACAGACGCCGGCGUAGACUAGAAUGACACCACCUCCAAAACGGCGGCGCGUGUGUCGAAUAAUAAUGACAUGGAAAGAAAUAAAGCAAAAAAUGAAGAAAACUAGCUUUAGUAGACUGUUUAGUGUUUAGUUUGAUGUGAAAAUUAUAAAAAUUAUGAUUUUUUAAGUGAAACUUGAUUUUUUGGGCUUAAAACAUUUUCUGUAAUAUAAAAAUAAAUCACAAAAUAUGUUAGAAAGCGCAUAA